rnacentral:rRNA from 1 species
GCAUAACGCGAAGAACCUUACCAGGUCUUGACAUCCUCUGCCAACCCUAGAGAUAGGGCGUUCCCCUCGGGGUACGAGAGUGACAGGUGGUGCAUGGUUGUCGUCAGCUCGUGUCGUGAGAUGUUGGGUUAAGUCCCGCAACGAGCGCAACCCUUGAUCUUAGUUGCCAGCAUUCAGUUGGGCACUCUAAGGUGACUGCCGGUGACAAACCGGAGGAAGGUGGGGAUGACGUCAAAUCAUCAUGCCCCUUAUGACCUGGGCUACACACGUGCUACAAUGGGCGGCACAGAAGGACGCGAGACCGCGAGGUCAAGCCAACCCUUAAAACCGUUCUCAGUUCGGAUUGCAGGCUGCAAUUCGCCUGCAUGAAGUCGGAAUCGCUAGUAAUCGCGGAUCAGCUACGCCGCGGUG